CAGAGGUACAAGCGCUCACACAAAGACGAGCAACAGAAGAAACAAAAAGUUUCUGGUUAUAUCUUUCUCUGUUUCAAAACCAGACUUUUUUCUUCUUUUUCACGGGCUUCUCCAGAUCCCAGAUUCCAACAAACUCUCUGUUAUCGAGAAACAAAGGUUUUAGUUUCUCCUUUCCACCACUUCCUCUUGUACGUCUCUCUGUUAAACCUCUCCUCCACGUACGUGGGAUUUGCAUAGAUUUUACAGCAAGAGAGAUAUCAGAACACAACUUCUGCUUAUAGUCUUAUAUCACUUUCAUUUGAGCGAAGUAUUUGGGAGAGAAAGAAGAAGAAGAAGAAG
rnacentral:misc_RNA from 1 species